rnacentral:rRNA from 1 species
CGCGUAGGCGGAAGUAUAAGUCAGAUGUGAAAUCCCGGUGCUUAACACCGGAACUGCAUUUGAUACUGUAUUUCUAGAGGAUAGGUGGAGAAAGCGGAAUUCCGCAUGUAGCGGUGGAAUGCGUAGAUAUGCGGAGGAACACCCGUGGCGAAGGCGGCUUUCUAACUUAUUCCUGACGCUAAGGCGCGAAAGCAGGGGGAGCGAACAGGAUUAGAUACCCUGGUAGUCC